rnacentral:lncRNA from 1 species
CUCCGAGCCAAAAUCCAAACUACACCAAAAAUACAUAAUUGGUAGUUUAAAAUUAUGGGUCUUACAUAUCCCAAGGGCACCUCAAGCGCAUUCUGGCAGGUCUAGUGCAGAAAUGCAUCCUAAGCGCUGGAUUCGCGCUUCAAGCGCACAACAUCUUCGGUCUGGCGUUUAGUGCAUAUUUCUCCUCUUUUGAGUCCGAAUUUGAUUUUGGUGGCUUCAUAAAGUUGUAGCUAUGGAGCGUAGCUUGCAUAUGCACUUGAUUUGACUCCAAUUGGACAUCUAUAACUUCAGAUAUGACUGAAAUACUCUACAUAGGUCAUGUUGAUUUCUCACCAAAAUUCAGCUCUACACUAAAACAAUAUAACAACGUAAAACUACGAAAUAUCUCUACUUACUCAAGGAAAUAACAUUAUAAAAUUUCAUUAAAUCAAAGAAUUAAAAUCAACCAAAUAUAUCAAAUAACUCCUUAAAUUAAUUAAUGAAUAAAAAAUAAAUAAGACUAAAAACAAUAAAAAAUAUGCAUAUGAUAAAGAGUCGUCACAACCCCAAACUUAAUAUAUUGUUUGUCCCCAAUCAACAAUUAAUUUCAUAUUUGGUACAUUUAAAAGCAAACUUAAAUUCAAUUUUUCAAAUCAAAUCAAACUUAAUUCUCAAAGCUCCAGCUACUACAAAACAUUCAUCAUGCUCCAUGGUUGCUUAAAAAAACACACACACACAAUUUGUACACUUUAGCAUUCCUUCAUCAAGUUCUUCAUACAAUUUCACCAAAAUUUCUCUCAAGUGUUUAGCAAGGGUUAUGAAUUUAUCACUCAAAUUCUAGAACAUGCAUCACACUACCAUAGCCUUGAAAAAAAUUAUAAUUAGCAAUCACAAUGCAACAAACACAUACACUUUUGGAGAACUUUCGAGUUGUAAUGCGACUUAGGUAAGGGUAGCACAUUUUGGGAUUGUAAGCUUUACUAUUUUGAGUUAGGUACACAUUUCCAAAUUAUUCUACCAUUUUUUUUCUUCACAUUUUCAUUGUGGAGAUUCUCAAACAUUGACAAAAGAACCAAAAAGAUGUUAUUUAUCAAAGUACACAAAUUAAUUUUUUUUUCUUCUUCUUUUUUAUCUUUUUUUUUUUAAUUUAUUUUAUUUAUGAGAAUCACCACCCCAAACUUAAAAAGUUGUUAUCCCAUGAGCAACUCCAAAACUUAGAAUUUUACUAAGAUGAGACAAAAGUUUUCCUACAUACCUCCAAGUAAGGUGAUUGAACUAAAGUCAGACCUUUAGCUUGUAAUGUGGCUAGUAACCAAAAGAAAGGGCAAGACUCAAAGGUGCUAGAAAAUGAUAAAAUUUGUAUAUGAUAGUUAAAAAGGCUCAAGCGACCAAAUAAAAUUGCCUCAAUAUAUGCAUAAAUUACAAGUGAUGCAAGUUAGAAUUAGUGCAAGUUCUGAAGGGAUGACUUAUGUUUGGAUAAUCACACAACAAAGAAUUAAAGUGUUUAGGCCCAAAAUCUCACAUCUAAGAUAAUAAGAGAGAGUAUGAAUUGUCAAAAUAAUGCCAAACAUGCCACUGCAAAAGUUAUUUAUUUAUUUUUUAAAAAAUGGCAAGUGAUACCUUGACAAUCAAGGAGUAAUCAACAAUGCAUGCAUUAGUGAAGCUUAUCAAGUUGAGCAAUGAUAUGAGCAAAGAAAUAGAGUUUAAAUUUCAAAAUCUCAAACAGGAAACUUAAGACCAAAUGCAAGUUGUUAACAAUUCUUCAUCAUAGUGCACGUUAACACACAAUUAAAAAGAGACAAAUUCAAAUAACAAAAAUAAGAUUGCAAAAAUAAAAGUUACCUCUACUUGUAGAUUGCCUCCUAAGAAGCGCUUCUUUAAAGUCAUUAGCUUGACGCCUCAACUAUUGUCAAAGUGGCAUAUAUUGAAGUUGAAAUAACAAUGUCAAUUAUAAGGAAGGGGGUUUGAAUUAUAAUUGCCCCUUUUUAAAAAUUCUUGUUUCAAACUGAAAGUUUAACUCAAGAUUGAUCUUGGUUAGUAAAAAACAACAAUAUCAAUUUUAUAAAUAUAAAAUCUGAUUGUAAAGCAUAAAAUAAAUAGAGAUAGAGAUAGAGAGAUCACACACGCAUAUAUCCUGAUUCAUCCAAACACGGAUUACGUCCAGUCCUUACAAAUGUGAGAUUUUCCACUAUGUGCUCAAGGCAAGAUUGUUCUUGAUUGUCACACAAUUUUUCACAGAUCAAUCAUGAUCUUUACACAGUUUCUACCUCUCUACCUAGAAAGGAUUUCCUCAGGUUUACCUUACACUAUUUCAAAAAGGAUUUUGCAAGUUACCUUUUAAAAUAUAAAAGGAUUUUUACACACUACUCAAGCUAUGUUAACAAAAUAGCCUUGAGUUAUAAAGUAUGAUUUUGAGAAUGUUAGAAUUUGGGUAUUGCUCAACUCUUGUUUGAGAAAUAGAUUCUAUAAUUAGAACUCAGUUAGUAUUGAUUCUAUCACAACACAAAGAGUAAAACUGCAAGCUAAAGAAAGAUUUCGAGACACUUGAGUAUGAUUGAAUGAUUGAUGCUUUUCUUGGCACUUUGAGUUGUGUUUUGUUCUUUAUCUUGAAGCUGUAUUUAUAGGCUUCAAUAGAGCUUUAGGAUAGCUCAUAUAUCCGUUGAAAUAGGGCCAAUUGUCAUAAAGAAGUUGAUGGAUAAAGUCAGUCAUAAAGCAAUAGCGUUUAUACUGAAUCCAGGAACGUUCUUGACAUUCAAGAUCAUUCUUCGAAUUUGUUGGAGAUGAGUUGACUUGUACUUGAGCUUCUG